rnacentral:RNase_MRP_RNA from 13 species
AGCACGGCUUCGCAGCGCACAGGCGGGGAGCUCGCUCCCACUUCGACGCUGCGGGGGAAGUCCCCGUGCAUCGGGGCAGAGAGUGCCGGCGGGAGACCGCAGGGCCCAGGCGCGAGCGCAGGCUGCCAGGCAAGGUUUCGCGCGGAUCCGUCG